rnacentral:rRNA from 1 species
CCUACGGGCGGCUGCAGUGGGGAAUAUUGCACAAUGGGGGAAACCCUGAUGCAGCGACGCCGCGUGAAGGAAGAAGGAUUUCGGUAUGUAAACUUCUAUCAGCAGGGAAGAAAAUGACGGUACCUGACUAAGAAGCCCCGGCUAACUACGUGCCAGCAGCCGCGGUAAUACGUAGGGGGCACGCGUUAUCCGGAUUUACUGGGGGUAAAGGGAGCGUAGGCGGUUUAGCAAGUCAGAAGUGAAAGCCCGGGGCUCAACUCCGGGUCGGCUUUUGAAACUGUUGAACUAGAGUGCAGGAGAGGUAAGUGGAAUUCCUGGUGUAGCGGUGAAAUGCGUAGAUAUUAGGAGGAACACCAGUGGCGAAGGCGGCUUACUGGACUGUAAAUGACGCUGAGGCUCGAAAGCGUGGGGAGCAAACAGGAUUAGAUACCCUUGUAGUC